UACGGAGGGGGCUAGCGUUGCUCGGAAUCACUGGGCGUAAAGCGCACGUAGGCGGAUUGCUAAGUCAGGGGUGAAAUCCUGGAGCUCAACUCCAGAACUGCCUUUGAUACUGGCGGUCUCGAGUCCGGGAGAGGUGAGUGGAACUGCGAGUGUAGAGGUGAAAUUCGUAGAUAUUCGCAAGAACACCAGUGGCGAAGGCGGCUCACUGGCCCGGUACUGACGCUGAGGUGCGAAAGCGUGGGGAGCAAACAGG
rnacentral:rRNA from 1 species